CUCUCAGGCCGCGCCGUCCAGGGCACCCUGCGCACGGUUUUCCCGGGCUCCGGGGUCCCCUUGCCUCUCUUACCCUACCCCGCCAGGCCCGCGGAGGCUGCUCCUCCUCAGGUGGCCCGGCCGGGGCCUUCCCCCCGCAGACCUGUCACCCGACACCCAGGAAGCGCGCGGCCCCAUCCCGGCUCCUCUUUGUUCCCCCGCCGGGCUCCGCGCUCGGGCGCCGCCUCCUCCAGCGUCGCGCUCUGGAGGUUCUGGGCGCCGCCUUCGGGGCGGCCCGGGAGCUCCUUGGGUUCCGUCCAUAGGCCCGCUCCGAACCAGGGUGUCCUUUUUGCCUUGUUUCUCCGAUGUGGACUCCUCUCGGAGCUAGGAGGCGGCGGCGAGCCCAGCCCGGAGCCGGCGCAGCCGUGGGCCAGCCAGGAUCAGGACGGAUGACGAAGCACCUUGACCUCAUCUAGGGAAGCAGAGCCCUGGCCAUCUGCCUCCCGAGGUUGUGAACGCCGCUCUGCACGCAGGAAAGGAGCUGCCCGGGCUGUGGCCCCUUCAACCACUGCGGAGGCCCUGCCCUCUCGAGGGGCCAUGGUUGCUGGGGUGAUGAGACCAGAGCCAGCUAUCUGAAUGCCCAGGACACACCUCUCCCCCAGUCCUGGCUGCCUCAUUGAAAGCACCUUCUGGGAGGUCUGCUUCUCCAUCCGUUGAAAGCUAUUUGGGGACCCGGCAGGAUCUCACUCAUACCUUCAUGCCCAGGACUGGCAAGUUACAGGAACCCCAUUACUGGGAGCGAAACAGGAACCUUCAUCAUAUCACUAUUUUGACCCCACAG
ensembl:lncRNA